UGUGUGCUGUCUCAGUGGCACAAGGAAGGCUGGAGCGGUCCGCAAAUCACACGUUUUGUAGGCUGGCAUGUUUACCACAAAUGUGUCUAGAGAAGAAACAUGGCAGAAAGUGGGAGACUCAGACGGAGCAGACAUGCCCAUGUCAUUCUUGGCGUAGACCCUGAAGUGGUACUCCCUGCCAGGCAUAAUGUUACAAGCCGUGAACUUGUUGUUGAAGAGCCGGUCAGCCACCGUGCUCCAUGAGCCUUUGGUGGAGUCCCGUUUAGACACAGAGUAGUGAAGGUGGUCGUCACGCUUCUCAUCAGGGGAUGGCUCCCAAAUCACAGUCACAGUGCCUGGGACGUUCUCCUCAAGUUCUACUGGUCCUGGAGGCUUGGGAUCAUCUACAGCCAGAGUCAGAGAUGAUAGUCAGUAUGAUGUUAUACUUCGCGAGGACAUUCUAUCAUUAGGUGGUAAUUGUUGUUGAUUCACUUAUGGCCAAUGUUCAUUGUGACUGCUGAUAUUUAAAAUACUUUCUUUGUGA